AAGACUUGAUGAAAGCCUGUUUCCCUGAUUGCUUUUACCCCUUGAACCAUGCAUUGAUUUCUGUUCAUCUGAGAAGGUCUACACCUAUUCCAGUCUUCAUAAACUAGUUUUUCCCCUGGGAGAAUCCCAAGGAAAGGAGAGGUCAAUGGCACAGAUAAGUUGAGGCCAGUUGUGGCCAGUAUGCCUCCAGGAACUGUCAGAAGUUUUGUGCUGCUGAGCAGUGACUAGAGCCGAAGACCAAUGGAUUUAAUCUGAUAGAGAUGUCAGCUCUCUCCAUACCACACUGCCUCAGACUAGAAUGGAGCUGGUACUGAUGCAGCAGAACACCAGCUACUGAACAGAGCAGCAGAAGACCCUGAACUUGAAGACGAGUGAGCACUUCCAUGAGCACUGUAAUAAAGUCCAGUCUAUACUUUCUGGCACAUUCCUUCUUCCUGUGCUGUCCUCGGGUUAUACUGGAAGCUUUCACAUGGUUUCCUUGGUGGCUGUGAAGUCUUCUCAAAAUGACCUUUGGUUAUACAUGACGAAUCCUGAGCAUCAGUGAUACAACUGUAUUUUCCUUGUUGGAGAAACUGAACCAGAACUACACAGCUAAGAUGAAGCUGUAACUCAUGUGCUUCAUAUCUGGAUAUUUUCCUUAGCAA